AUUGAACGCUGGCGGCAGGCCUAACACAUGCAAGUCGAGCGAGCGGCGGACGGGUGAGUAAUGUCUGGGAAACUGCCUGAUGGAGGGGGAUAACUACUGGAAACGGUAGCUAAUACCGCAUACCAUCAGAUGUGCCCCGAUGGGAUAAGCUAGUAGGUGGGGUAACGGCUCACCUAGGCGACGAUCCCUCGCUGGUCUGAGAGGAUGACCAGCCACACGGGAACGGAGAAACGGUCAAGACUCCAACGUGGGGCAGAAGUGGGGAAUAUUGCACAAUGGGCGAAAGCCGGAUGCGGCCAUGCCGCGUGUGUGAAGAAGGCCUUCGGGUUGUAAAGCACUUUAAGCGGGGAGGCGUUACCCGCAGAAGAAGCACCGGCUAACUCCGUGCCAGCCGCCGCGGUAAUAC
rnacentral:rRNA from 1 species